AGCAGGAGGAGAGCUGGCAGCUGGCAUGUGCUGCUGGGAGUGGUUUUCUGGUUGUGAAGUUUUGCUUCUACUUAGGUGUGGGGUCCUAGAGUGGAGUGCUUAAAAGCUACCUGUCCUUGCUGUUAUUAAAUUCCUUUUCCCACGGUGGAACUGCAGAAGAGGCACUAUGCAAUAACCUGUGAUCAGGAUCCCAGUUAUGUGCUGGAUAGGCAGCUGAAGAAGCUCCUAGACCUGUCUUUCUAAGAUUUGGACAGAGCCUAUAGAUAAGCAUGAAAGUCGAUCUGUUGGUGAAAGCUCUGGAGAGGUGCAGAGACAGGGAGGAAACGAGGCACCAUCCCACUGAAAUCAGCAGGACUCUGUGGUGCUCUGAGAAAGGCAUACAUAUGCCUGGAUCAAGUUGAUAUUUACAGAAGGCUCCUUUUGAAUUGGCUUUUGAUUAUACACCUAUGUCAGAGGGUGGACAGUGAGACUCAGUGUGACUUGUUUCCAUGAGAGAAAGAUGGUGAAAGAUUGUGAAGCUCCCCUUGCGAUUAAAACUGUUGAAACAGCUGUUAUCUGGUAGCUGCUCUCACCGGGCAGUUUCCUGAUGUCAGUCAGCGGCUGUGGGGCUGCAGCAGCAAUUGG
rnacentral:lncRNA from 1 species